rnacentral:rRNA from 1 species
UACAGAGAGUGCGAACGUUGUUCGGAAUUACUGGGCGUAAAGGGCUCGUAGGUGGCCAACUAAGUCAGACGUGAAAUCCCUCAGCUUAACUGGGGAACUGCGUCUGAUACUGGAUGGCUUGAGUUUGGGAGAGGGAUGCGGAAUUCCAGGUGUAGCGGUGAAAUGCGUAGAUAUCUGGAGGAACACCGGUGGCGAAGGCGGCAUCCUGGACCAACACUGACACUGAUGAGCGAAAGCCAGGGGAGCAAACGGG